CAUUGAAACAUCAGUUCUUAUACAAUCACCAAAGUUAAGCAAGAUCAAGCCUGGUCGGUACCUAGAUGGGUGACCGCUUGGGAAUAUCAGCUGCUGUAAU